UGGCGGCCUUAGCGCGGUGGUCCCACCUGACCCCAUGCCGAACUCAGAAGUGAAACGCCGUAGCGCCGAUGGUAGUGUGGGGUCU
rnacentral:rRNA from 2 species